GUUCUUAGUUCUAUUACUUAAGCUAAGAUUGACUUCUGUGAUUCAAACAAUAACAACAAAAUACAAUGGUUUAUUACAAUAGGAGUUUAUUUCUCAUAAUUCCAUAGCCUAGGAAAAUUCCAGAUCAUUGGCAAAUUGUGACAAGACCUAUUUCUGUGGAGAGUUGGGAAUAAAAACCUGAUUGAAGUCGUUCAACAAAGAAUGAGAAAAGGGGAAUUGGAAGUGGAGACUGUGUAUAGACAAUUCAUUCAAGGAGUUUUGUUAUAAAGGGGAGCCAAGAAUUGGGGUGGUAGGUUGAAGGAGAUGUAGGCUUGGGACAUUUUGUUGUUGUUUUAAUUUUUGUAUUAUUAUUAUUUUUUACCUGUGUCUAGAAACAAGUUCAGAUGUUUUUAAUUUUUAAGGCUUUUUUUUUUUUUUGGUCAGGCUCUGUAGCUCACUCUAGAGUACAGUGGCAUGAUCUCAGCUCACUGCAACCUCUGCCUCCCAGGUUCAAGCCAUCCCCCGACCUCAGCCUCCUGAGUAGCUGGGACUAUAGGCAUGAGCCACCAUGGCUGGCUAUUUUUUUUGUUGAGACAGGGUCUCACUUUGUUGCCUAGGCUGGUCUCAAACUCCUGAGCUCAAGAGAUCUGCCCACCUCAGCCUCCCAAAGUGAGGGAUUACAGGCUGGGAUUAUAGGGAUCCCAAAGCUGGGAUUACAGGUGUGAGCCAACAUACCAGGUCUCUUAAAGCAUUUUUUAGUAGGAAAAAUUAUAGCGUGUUUAUAUGCUAAUGGAAGUGGUUCAGUAGAAGGAAAAAGAUUGAUGAUGCAGGAAAGAGGGAGGAGAAUUUCAAGAGCCCAGUAGUUGAAUAAGUAGAGAAAAUGCCAACCAGAAUGAAGACUUGGCUUUAGAUAGGAGCAAGGAUGAUUCAUCAAUAAAAACAACAAGUGGCCGGGCACGGUGGCUCACGACUGUAAUCCCAGGGAGGCAGAGGUGCGUGGAUCGCCUGAGGUCAGGAGUUCAAGAGCAGUCUGGCCAACAUGGUGAAACCCUGUCUCUACUAAAAAUACAAAAAUUAGGUGGGCGUGUUGGCAGGUGCCUGUAAUCCCAGCUACUCAGGAGGCUGAGGCAGGAGAAUCACUUGAACCUGGGAGGCGGAGGUUGCAGUGAGCCGAGAUCGUGCCAUUGCACUCCAGCAACAAGAGUGAGGCUCCAUCUCAAACAAACAAACAAAUGAACAAACAAACAAGCUAGCCUGAGCAUAUGGGCACAGAGGCAGGUAGGGGGAUCAACAGGUCUGGUUUGUCUAGGACUGAGGGGUUUCUGGAAUCACGGAACUUUCAGUGCCAAAACCAGGACAGCCCUUCAUGAACUAGAAUGGUUGGUCACCCUAGAAGUAAGAGAAUUCAUAGGGGGAGUUUAUAGAAGUUAUCUUUGGUUUGCUUUGAGCAUCGCUAAACGAGAAAGGGCAAGACUUCCUCAGUGGCUUCAACUCAUUAAUAAAAUGAGAUUAUAACCCAUCUAUGUAACCUAAAACCCAGUGUUAUGCUGUGUGAGGAAUAUUACAAUGAAUAAGUUGUAGGUCCUGUUCUAGAGGAGUUUAAGCUAGUGUAUGAGAAAAAAGAACAUGACUACAUGUAAGGCAAGCCAAUCUGAGAUGUCUGUAAUGAGUUUAUUCACUGUAACUUCUCUGAGUCAUGUUCCAUGUUCUUCAGGAACCUAUUAUCUGCUAGAGUAGAUAGUACUCAGUAAAAAUAAUAGGAAACAUUUCCUGAGAUUUUACUGAUUUCCAGCAGCUGUACAUCCAUUAUCUCUUUUCAUCUCCAUAACAGCUUAUUAGAUAGGUCCAGCUAUUAUCACCUUCAUUUUACAACAGAGAAAAAAAUGCAUACUGAUUAAGCAAUUUGCUCCAGGUCACACAGCAAGUGAUGGAAGGUCUUGAACCCUGCUUGACUCUGCAGCCCAAGCUUUUAAACACAACAUUACACUGCUUUCUAGAAAUUAUUAUAAUGCAUGGGAAUAAACUAUGAUUAGCACAGACAAAUGUCCUAAAAAUUUAGAAGAAGGCAAGGUAAUUUUUGUUUGAGAAGAAGUCGUCAUGAAUGGAACUUGAAGAAGGUUAGUAUUUCAUUAGUCUCUUUCUCAGUUCCUUACCCCUGGCUAUUUCUUCAUUAGCUCAGAUGUAACAAACAUGUGAGAACUUACAGGUUAAUGAGACCUUAGAGAACAUUGAAUCUACUUAGGAACAACCAAUGUUGCAUACGUUUCUGUGAUUUCUCUGUGAGUACAAUGUUAAACAGAUGCUGUGGGUAAUUAAAUCACUCUCAAGGUAUAAAUGAGACUACUUAAAAGGAACGUUAACUAUUUCAGAACCAAAAUAGGAGAUUCCUUCAGUUAAAAAAUAACUUACUCAAAUGAAAUAUAAUAUACAUACAAUAUGCUUUCUCACUAUACAAAGACAUAUACAUGUUGCAACUAUAGUAUUUUAUAUGUGAAAGACAAGCUGCUUGUAUUUUUGGUUCAUUUUUUGACAAGUUUUUAUAAAUAGUAAUACUUAUCAUUUAUGACACUUAUUACAUGCCAGACAUGAUUCUAAGACAUUCACAGACACUAUCUCAUUUAGUUGACUCAAAAACUCAGUUCAGAUAUGAUCGCUUCAGAGGGUCCCUUCCUGGCCUCUCUGAAUUCAUCACCUUCAGUUGCUCUGCCAUGGCCUUAACUCUACCUGUAAUUUUGGUUUAUUUGGCUUAUAUGUUUAAUGAGACCCUCCCCACCAACUCUUUCCCCACCCCAAUUAAACCGUGUGCUUCAGAUAGCAAGUACUAUUCUGCCUUGCGUACUUCAGUAUCCACAGUUGCUAGACUAGUGGCACAUGCUAAGCAUUCCAUAAAUAUUUAUUGAAUGACAGAAUGAAUGAAAAACUUAAUGUAGAUGAGAGCUCUGAAGCCCAGAGAGGCUAAAAAGUUAAGAUCCCAGAGCUGGUAUGGUAAAUGACAAAACUCAUAUGUAAAUUCUUGUCUUUUAUCCAAUAGGAGAUAUUGUCCUUUAUUUUAUGUGGGCUAUAGAAGGUUGACACAUCUCGCCUGUAAGGAAAUCACUCUCUAGUAAGGGAAGGAAGUCAUUCCCUUCCAGUCAACAAGUACUUAUUAACCCUUGCUAGGUAUUUUAUUAAGCACUAGGAACACAGACGUAAACAAUACAAACACAGCCGAGGCUGGCGUGGAGCUUUUUGUCUAGACUCUUGAGUAAAGAAGACAGACAUUAUAGGUAACAACAAGGGAGAUAAGUAUUUUGAAAAGGAAUGUACAAAGAUAGAAAAGAAUAGCAAGGUAAUCCAACCAAGUGAAAGGGGUCAGGGAAGCCUUCUCUGUGGAAGGGAAUGUAGCUUGUCCAAAAAACCGAGAGAAAUAAAAUGUGAAGGUCAUGUAGAGGUGAGAACAAGAAUGGCAGGUGGUAAAUAGAGAAGAGCCUUGAAGAUGAUAUCUGCAAAUAAUAAUCACACAUGAUGAAGAGUGAUGUGUCCUAACAGAGGUGGAUUACAGUGCUAUUGGAGUUAGGAGAAUGGUAAGAUUCUCAUUAUAGGGGAAGCUUUAUGAAGUUAUUAUAAUGACAUUUAUAAUAACUUUGAGGGCUGAAAAAAUAUAGAUACAUUGAAACGGGAAGGAACAUCCAAACAGUUUCUUGUAUCUCUCUUAAUUUCACUUUUUGAGUAGGUAAUACAUUCCCAUGUUUUUAUAGGUGUAUAAUGCCUUAAACUGUACAAUAUCUCAUUUCCACUACUGUUUCUCACCCAUCCAAUCCCCAAGCCCCACACUACCACAGGUAAUCUCUUUUGUUAGCUUUUUUGUAUCCUUUCAGAAUUACUUUAUGUAAAUAUAAACAGUUAUAAAUAUAAAUGCUUAUCCCUAAACCUUUUACCACACUAUAUAGCAUACUGUAUACACCAUUCUGUACUUAACAACAUGUCUUGGAAGUCUUCCCAUAUCAGCACAGGAAUUACUUCCUCAUUUUUUUCACAGCUGCUCAGUGCUCAUAUGGAUGUAUCAUAAUUAAUUUAAUCUUUUAUUGAUGAGCUCUUGGAGGGUUUUCAACUUUUGUCUAUCAAAUAGUUUUAUAGAUAUGGCAGCUUAUAACUGUACAAAUAUAUUUAUAAUUUUAAAAGCUAUUGCCAAAUUGUCCUCAAUGGAGGUUAUAUGAAAAUACCUCCAAAUGGUUAGAUUUAACUGCCUAACUAACGAUGAAGCUAGAGAAGCAAAUAAAGUAAAUUUUUUAAAAAGACACCACUCAUGUACUUGAUCAUUUCCAAUAAAACACUAGGUACAACUAAAAGUUAGAAAUGGAAAAUUGUAUUGUAUGUUGGCUCAGGUAUGGAUCCAAAUUUUGUGAGGCUUGAAGUUUAUGCAAUUGGAGGAGGCUUCUUUAAGAAAAAUAAUAAGAAAUUACAAAAUGUAAAAUUAGCAAACAGAACUUUGGAAGGGGCUCAUGUGAGAGAGGGGCCCAAAGUGUAAUCUUCAUUUGUUUUGUGGCAAAUCUGCUGUGUAUAAGACCUACAUACACACAUGUGAAGGAGAACAAAUUACUCAUCCUUUUCACCUGGGAGAAACCAUGUUCAAAACAUGUGGACCACUGCCCUCAACGACGUGUCACUGAGAAUAAUUCCACAGGCCUUAGUGCUUUCCGCUCCAUGAUGUACGUAAUAUUCCCUGUAGUUGCCUUCUAUCUCUCUAAGUGAAUUCAUUCAAUUUAUGCAACACCUUUCAUCUUCAAAAUCCCAAAGACCUUACAGGUACUUUUUUUUUUUUUUUUUUUUUUUUUUGAGACAGGCUCUCACUCUGUCACCCAGGCUGGAGUGCCAUGGCAC
rnacentral:lncRNA from 10 species